UAUCUUCAGAGCAUGUCACCCCUAAGCAGUAGAAUAUACAUACUUUUCCAGUGUACAUGCAACACUUUCUCAGGUAGACCACACAUUAGGACAGAAAACAAGUCUCAAUAAAUUUAAGAAGAUUGAAAUCAUAUCAAGCAUCUUAUCUGCCCACAGUGCUAUGGAACUAGAAAUCAAUCACAAGAAGAACACUGAAAACCACACAAAGAUAUGGAAGCUAAAUAACAUGUUAUUAAAAAUGAAUGGGUCAACAAUGAGAUCAAGGAAGAAAUCAAAAGAUGCUUUGAAACUAAUGAAAAUGAGGACAUGGCAUUCCUAAAUCUGUGGGACAUUGGGAAAGCAAUCUUUAUAGGGAUAUUCAUAGCAUCACAGGCCUAUCUAAACAAAAAAAACCUAAGAAAAAGCUCAAAUAAACAAUCUAACUUCUCACUUAAAUAAACUUGAAAAAACAACAACAAACAAAACCCAAAGUGAGUAGAAAGAGGAA